AACCUCCAAAAAUAGGAAAACGACGGCACCGAAAAGGUGUGAAAAAUGCGAAAAUGUUUAUUUAUAUAAAUAAUAAGCUUCUCCUGCUGACAAGUUUGAUAUUGCUCGCAUUGGCCGUGUUCGUUCAUGUCAAAUAUGAUUGGAUUUCGCAAGGUAACACCAACAUAAUUGUGUCAUCAAGUAAAUUGAAAUUGUGAUGCUAAUAUUGAAAAUAUGCUUCGUUUCGAAACAAAAAUCGUGCCCAUUUCUUUUUUUUUCUGUAUUUUUAUUUGGGCUUGUGUUGAUGAUGAUCGGGAUUGGAUUUUAUAUGAAUACGGUAAUUGUCGAAGACAUUAUAGACGUUUUGGAUAGAGUGCAUAGCAAAGAAAAGCAAUUCAGGGACAUGUGGAAAGGCGUUGAAAAACUGUUUCAUUGCAGUGGCAUCGUCCGAAAAACUAAUCCAUACAGAAAACCUUGUGCUGAUGCAAUCAAAUCGUUUCUCACUGAAAACAUCGAGAUAUUCGAAAUAGUUGGAGCUGUUUUCGGUGCUAUUCAACUCAUCGAUAUCGCGCUUUCAAUUUAUUUAUUUAGGCGGUUCAGACAGCCAUAAACUAAAUAUUUUAAGUUAUGUAUGUGUACUUCAGUUGCUGAAUCAAAGCAAUUAGUAAUAGUGAAGUUAAUCAUCGAAUGGAAAAAAAAUCUUGAAACGAAAAAUUCUUGGAUUUAUCAAUACAUUCAAUGAAUCAUUUUAAUGUUUAAUCUCAAACUCAUUUUGUACUUGGAUAGUGUGUUUGUGAACACUUUUUAUGAAAAAUUGAUAUUACGCAAAGCUAUAUGAUUUGGAAUUUAAUUCUAUUGUUCUACAAAUUGUAUUUCUUAAAUUUAAUCACAUUGAUGGAUUGAGCCACUAACAAACACAAUGCAAAUCUAGUUUAAAUUUGUUUUUGAAAAGAAAAAAAAAAUUGGUCUUCAAUUCUUGCAAGU